rnacentral:rRNA from 1 species
GACGAACGCUGGCGGCGUGCCUAAUACAUGCAAGUCGAGCGCAGGAAAUCGACGGAACCCUUCGGGGGGAAGUCGACGGAAUGAGCGGCGGACGGGUGAGUAACACGUAAAGAACCUGCCCUCAGGUCUGGGAUAACCACGAGAAAUCGGGGCUAAUACCGGAUGGGUCAUCGGACCGCAUGGUCCGAGGAUGAAAGGCGCUUCGGCGUCGCCUGGGGAUGGCUUUGCGGUGCAUUGGCUAGUGGGUGGGGUAAUGGCCCACAAAGGCGACGAUGGAUAGCCGACCUGAGAGGGUGAUCGGCCACACUGGGACUGAGACACGGCCCAGACUCCUACGGGAGGCAGCAGUAGGGAAUCUUCCACAAUGGACGAAAGUCUGAUGGAGCAACGCCGCGUGAACGAUGAAGGCCUUCGGGUCGUAAAGUUCUGUUGUAAGGGAAGAACAAGUGCCGCAGGCAAUGGCGGCACCUUGACGGUACCUUGCGAGAAAGCCACGGCUAACUACGUGCCAGCAGCCGCCGUAA